rnacentral:miRNA from 1 species
UGAGCAGCCGGACCAUGGGAU